rnacentral:rRNA from 1 species
GACGAACGCUGGCGGCGUGCUUAACACAUGCAAGUCGAACGGAAAGGCCCCCUUGUGGGGUACUCGAGUGGCGAACGGGUGAGUAACACGUGAGUAACCUACCCUUGACUUUGGGAUAACUUCAGGAAACUGGGGCUAAUACCGGAUAGGAGCUCCUGCUGCAUGGUGGGGGUUGGAAAGUUUCGGCGGUUGGGGAUGGACUCGCGGCUUAUCAGCUUGUUGGUGGGGUAGUGGCUCACCAAGGCUUUGACGGGUAGCCGGCCUGAGAGGGUGACCGGCCACAUUGGGACUGAGAUACGGCCCAGACUCCUACGGGAGGCAGCAGUGGGGAAUAUUGCACAAUGGGCGGAAGCCUGAUGCAGCAACGCCGCGUGCGGGAUGACGGCCUUCGGGUUGUAAACCGCUUUCGCCUGUGACGAAGCGUGGGUGACGGUAAUGGGUAAAGAAGCACCGGCUAACUACGUG